rnacentral:rRNA from 1 species
GGCCUUAGACAUACUAAGAACUUUCCAGAGAUGGAUUGGUGCCUUCGGGAACUUAGAUACAGGUGCUGCAUGGCUGUCGUCAGCUCGUGUCGUGAGAUGUUGGGUUAAGUCCCGCAACGAGCGCAACCCUUUUCCUUAUUUGCCAGCGGGUUAAGCCGGGAACUUUAAGGAUACUGCCAGUGACAAACUGGAGGAAGGCGGGGACGACGUCAAGUCAUCAUGGCCCUUACGGCCAGGGCUACACACGUGCUACAAUGGUCGGUACAAAGGGUUGCUACCUCGCGAGAGGAUGCUAAUCUCAAAAAGCCGAUCGUAGUCCGGAUCGCAGUCUGCAACUCGACUGCGUGAAGUCGGAAUCGCUAGUAAUCGCGGAUCAGAAUGCCGCGGUGAAUACGUUCCCGGGCCUUGUACACACCGCCCGUCACACCAUGGGAGUUUGUUGCACCAGAAGUAGGUAGUCUAACCGCAAGGAGGACGCUUACCACGGUGUGGCCGAUGACUGGGGUGAAGUCGUAACAAGGUAGGCGUAGAUGA